AAACUUCCAUAAACCAUAGUCUCAUUGACCGUCAAACUUCUUCACCUCAAAUUUACCUUGAGGUGGUUCCAAGACAAGACUUUAUUCUCUGCUAAAGCUGAACACCCAGACCAACAAGCUUUAAUUUCUUCAAACAACUCCAAAUGCUGAACAGAACCAGAAACCCCUGAACCUGUGUAGCCAAACACCAAUAGCAGAUUAGAAACUGAAACUGUAACCUUUCUCUGCCAAAGCUGAUGCUCUGAUACUAAUUGUUGAGAAUAAGUAGAUCCUUAACCGGUUUAUUCUAACUUGACUAAUUAACAUUAGCACACUUCUUGUUCUUGUUUGAGUUUGUUAAAGACACACAAGCUUUGGUGACCCAGUUCCCUGUCGGUACAUCUGAGGAGAAGACGGUAUUCUCAACGAUUCCCUAGUAUCAAGUGUAUACAAGAGCUUUCUUACACAACCACCUCUGAGUUUCUCUAUCUACAUAGAGACAACACGACAAUAAGCUGAGGGCUUAAGCUUACUGAACCUGUGUGUAUGGAGAUGAAAUCUACACUCUAAAGGGAAAGAAGUAGUCUGAGACUCUUGACCGGAUCCCCCUUUGCUUCUCCACUAUCUUUUGUAGAUGCUCCUUCAAUCUCUUCUUAGCUCUUGCUUCUUGCCUCUCUCUCUAAUCUCAGAUCUGUGUUCUUGAUGUUCUGAAUGUGUUUUUUUUUAAGGCAAGAGUUAGGUUUAGGGUAUAUAUAUAUAUUUUUUUUUUUGUUUUUUUUGUUUUUUUUUUUAUGAAACUCACUAACUAAUCUAGGGUCGAAAUUUAGAGAGAGAAAAAGUGAUAAAUAAUCUACACUAGGCGUUACCUUCCAGACCUGUCUGAAGAAUCCGAUCCCAUGUAUACCAAGCCCCAAGACAAGCGGUUAUGUCAGGUUUAGUGUUGGAAAUCAGCUUUGGUUAAUUCAUACGGUUCAAGGCAAGUGUGUAGUUGAUAGGUUGAUCUGCUUUAACAUCUUUAGUGCUAUCUGCAAUCAGUAAAUCUAAAAUAGUGCUAAAGAUUGGUUAGAUAUUCAAGUUUGAAUCAAUAUAAGAUUAUAGUCCUUAUUUUCAAUAGCUAAGCAUAAUUUAUUAAAAUUCCUUUUUAUAUGAGAAUAAAAUAGAUUAUAUCAGUAGAUCUCCCCCCAGACUUAAAUUACACUGUCCCAGUGUAACUCAGCCGGAGUUAUGAUGAAUAGUUUAUGAUGUACGAAAUGAAACAAGUAAGGAAGAUACAUCUGACCCGAUUAGAUAUCGAUCGAUGUGUAAGUGGUACAUCGAUCGUCGUGUGGUUGUCUAUGUCGAGCGAUUUCGACAUUUCGUCGUCGGUCGAUAUUCAAGUCCUCCUACUUGGGUCUCCUAAAUCUGAAAGAAAUAAAACGAAAGUAAAUAAUUGCUAGCUAAUAAAACCAAAAUAAAAUACCUAAUAGUGGGUUGCCUCCCACUCAGCGCUUGGUUAU
rnacentral:lncRNA from 1 species